rnacentral:rRNA from 1 species
AACGAACGCUGGCGGCAUGCCUAACACAUGCAAGUCGAACGAGAUCUUCGGGUCUAGUGGCGCACGGGUGCGUAACGCGUGGGAAUCUGCCCUUUGGUUCGGAAUAACAGUUGGAAACGACCGCUAAUACCGGAUGAUGACGAAAGUCCAAAGAUUUAUCGCCAGAGGAUGAGCCCGCGUAGGAUUAGCUAGUUGGUGUGGUAAAGGCGCACCAAGGCGACGAUCCUUAGCUGGUCUGAGAGGAUGAUCAGCCACACUGGGACUGAGACACGGCCCAGACUCCUACGGGAGGCAGCAGUGGGGAAUAUUGGACAAUGGGCGAAAGCCUGAUCCAGCAAUGCCGCGUGAGUGAUGAAGGCCUUAGGGUUGUAAAGCUCUUUUACCCGGGAUGAUAAUGACAGUACCGGGAGAAUAAGCUCCGGCUAACUCCGUGCCAGCCGCCGCAGUAAUAC